rnacentral:rRNA from 1 species
UGGGGAAUAUUGGACAAUGGGGGGAACCCUGAUCCAGCCAUGCCGCGUGUGUGAAGAAGGCCUUAUGGUUGUAAAGCACUUUAAGCGAGGAGGAGGGUACUGGUAUUAAUACUACCAGGUACUGGACGUUACUCGCAGAAUAAGCACCGGCUAACUCUGUGCCAGCAGCCGCGGUAAUACAGAGGGUGCGAGCGUUAAUCGGAUUUACUGGGCGUAAAGCGUGCGUAGGUGGUUCGUUAAGUUGAAUGUGAAAGCCCCGGGCUCAACCUGGGAACUGCAUCCAAAACUGGCGGGCUAGAGUAGGGCAGAGGGUGGUGGAAUUUCCUGUGUAGCGGUGAAAUGCGUAGAUAUAGGAAGGAACACCAGUGGCGAAGGCAGCCAUCUGGCCUAACACUGACGCUGAGGUACGAAAGCAUGGGGAGCAAACAGG